rnacentral:rRNA from 1 species
UACAGGGGGUGCAAACGUUGCUCGGAAUCAUUGGGCGUAAAGAGCUCGUGAGGCGGCUUGUCGCGUCGACUGUGAAAUCCCGCGGACUCAACUGCGGGUCUGCAGUCGAUACGGGCAGGCUAGAGUUCGGUAGGGGAGACUGGAAUUCCUGGUGUAGCGGUGAAAUGCGCAGAUAUCAGGAGGAACACCGAUGGCGAAGGCAGAUCUCUGGGCCGUAACUGACGCUGAGGAGCGAAAGCGUGGGGAGCGAACAGG